UAGCUGCGAUACGUGAUGUGAAUUGCAGAAUUCGUGAAUCAUCGAAUCUUUGAACGCACAUUGCGCCCCUUGGUAUUCCAUGGGGCAUGCCUGUUCGAGCGUCAUUUGUACCCUCAAGCUCUGCUUGGUGUUGGGUGUUUGUCCCGUCUCCGCGCGUGGACUCGCCCCAAAGUGAUUGGCAGCCGGCGUACUGGUCCCGGAGCGCAGCACAUGUCGCGCAAACGAGUGCCUUGGUACGGCGGCGUCCAUAAGCCCCUCUCUCACGCUCUUGACCUCGGAUCAGGUAGGGAUACCCGCUGAACUUAAGC
rnacentral:misc_RNA from 1 species